AGCCAGCUGACGAGUCCCAAAUAGGGCGAAACACACGUCCUGGAU
rnacentral:hammerhead_ribozyme from 1 species